GACAGAGGUGCCGAGCGUUAGGCGGAAUCACUGGGCGUAAAGCGCACGUAGGCGGACUCUUAAGUCGGUGGUGAAAUCCUGGAGCUCAACUCCAGAACUGCCUUCGAUACUGAGAGUCUCGAGUCCGGGAGAGGUGAGUGGAACUGCGAGUGUAGAGGUGAAAUUCGUAGAUAUUCGCAAGAACACCAGUGGCGAAGGCGGCUCACUGGCCCGGUACUGACGCUGAGGUGCGAAAGCGUGGGGAGCAAACAGG
rnacentral:rRNA from 1 species